AGCGAACGCUGGCGGCAGGCCUAACACAUGCAAGUCGAACGGACCUUCGGGUUAGUGGCGGACGGGUGAGUAACACAUGGGAACGCGCCUUUUGGUUCGGAACAACUCAGGGAAACUUGAGCUAAUACCGAAUGUGCCCUUCGGGGGAAAGAUUUAUCGCCAUUAGAGCGGCCCGCGUCUGAUUAGCUUGUUGGUGAGGUAAAGGCUCACCAAGGCUACGAUCAGUAGCUGGUCUGAGAGGAUGAUCAGCCACAUUGGGACUGAGACACGGCCCAAACUCCUACGGGAGGCAGCAGUGGGGAAUCUUGCGCAAUGGGCGAAAGCCUGACGCAGCCAUGCCGCGUGAAUGAUGAAGGUCUUAGGAUUGUAAAAUUCUUUCACCGGGGACGAUAAUGACGGUACCCGGAGAAGAAGCCCCGGCUAACUUCGUGCCAGCAGCCGCCGUAACAC
rnacentral:rRNA from 1 species